UACGUAGGAUGCAAGCGUUGUCCGGAUUUAUUGGGCGUAAAGAGUUCGUAGGUUGCAAAUCAAGUCUAAUGUGAAAUCGUAAGGCUUAACCUUAUACACGCAUUAGAUACUGAUUUGCUAGAGCAAGGUAGGGGUCAGAGGAAUUCCUGGUGUAGCGGUGAAAUGCGUAGAUAUCAGGAGGAACACCGGUGGCGAAAGCGUCUGACUGGGCCUUUGCUGACACUGAGGAACGAGAGCUAGGGGAGCGAAAGGG
rnacentral:rRNA from 1 species